AAGGCUCGUACCUAUAUCGUUGUAGGGAUGCGAGUCGAACACUGUCAUACUAACAAUUGUCGCACACUACCAUAGGACGGAUUUAGUCUUUAAGAAUAUAUAUACCAUCAUUUUUUUGAACCACAAGAUGCUCAAAUAUCUAUCCUUUGGCAUUGCAGGCGCCGUUGCUUCCUUAGGAGGUCUGUGUUUAUACAAACACUUUUUUAAAUGUAAAAAACCUCCUAUUCAUCGUCUAUAUACAUCACAAGAUCCGAAUUAUUCAAGCAUUGUCAUUCAUAAGGGGAUUGUCUACCUAUCGGCUAUUCAAUCUGGAUACGGUGAUAUUGAGCAACAAACCAUAUCUGUCCUUGAAAACAUUGAGAGUCUUCUGACUGAAGCUGGAAGCAAUUGGUCUAAUAUCCUUGAGGCUCGAAUUCAUUUAAGAAAUAUUGAGCGUAAUUUUUACACUGUCAUGGCACUGUGGAAUGGUUGGAUUGAUCCGAAUAAUAAGGGAACCAUGUCUUGUACAGAAUCAAGGUUCUUUGAUCCAAACAUACUUGUACAAAUCCAGGUUAUUGCAAGUAAUUGAUGAUAUAUAACAUUAUGUUAUCAGUCAAUUGAAUUCAAUUAUUUAGAUUUUUCUUUGCGCUUUUUAUUUUGAUGAAGGAUAUCAUAAGUGAUCUCGUUAAAUUGGCUGUAGGCCUGCACAGGCAUUAUUGUGUAUGAUAUGCACAUAUUAUGUUGUACUUGAAACAAAUUUUUGUAUUGAGUCAAAGUACUUGUAAAUGAAUUAUUAUUUUUUUAAUUUUAAUUAACUGAGCUUAUUAUAUUAUAGUAUGUAUUGUUUUGAAUCAUUGUCUUGUCAGAUUUUCAUGUGAGGAUCGUUACUCAUUCUUGAAAAAUAAAUAGCAUGUUGGUGCAUUAAAAAAAAAAAACAAUAGUCUUAUUUUAUUUUUCAGCAAUAUCCAUCUACCUUAGAUUUUAAUUUAUUUCGUUUAUAUCAAAACUUAGCUUCAUGAAGACCCAACUAAGCAUGUAUAAUGAUGUAUAUUGUUUGGUUUUUUAUAAAUACUUCGUACAAAAUACCUUUAAAAUAUACAUUAAAUUGUUUCAAAGGAUCAUAAUAUUGUGAUCAUGUAA
rnacentral:misc_RNA from 1 species